CCUACGGGAGGCAGCAGUAAGGAAUAUUGCGCAAUGGGGGCAACCCUGACGCAGCAACGCCGCGUGGGCGAUGAAGGCCUUCGGGUCGUAAAGCCCUUUUCUGUGGGACGAUAAUGACGGUACCACAGGAAUAAGCCACGGCUAACUACGUGCCAGCAGCCGCGGUAAUACGUAGGUGGCUAGCGUUAUCCGGAUUCACUGGGCGUAAAGAGCGCGUAGGCGGUGUGCUAAGUUGGACGUGAAAGCCCCCGGCUUAACCGGGGGAGGUCGUCCAAUACUGGUGCACUUGAGGGUGGACGGGGAAAGCGGAAUUCCCGGUGUAGUGGUAAAAUGCGUAGAUAUCGGGAGGAACACCAGUGGCGAGGGCGGCUUUCUGGACUGUACCUGACGCUGAGACGCGAAAGCGUGGGGAGCAAACAGGAUUAGAUCCCCUUGUAGU
rnacentral:rRNA from 1 species